GGAUUACACAUGUUGUUUAUCAUUAUUUAUUUAUGUUAUUUAUCAUUUAAAUCCACAAACAACAUGUGUAAUCCUGGGCAUAUUAAGACUUGGACCAGAAAACAAUUACUUUCUCUCCAUUGAAACCAUUCAUAUUUUUCGAUCUCAUAGGUCCCAUGGGCUCUACUGGAAGGGGCGUGACUUCGCCACUCUUUAUAAGCCGUUUCAAAACAAUCCUUUAUUUACAUCACAGUCGCUGAGGAAUUGGAGAUGGAAACAUGUAGGUAGUCACCCAGAGUGGCCUCUACAUUGUUGCCAUCUGCACAUCUACUCGGCCGCCUCUGAAUGUCCAACACCUGGAACCCGUUGAUGGGACUGCAGACCACUCCAUGUUGCUCUCAACAAGAGCAAUGAGGUCGCUGCACUCACCGGAUCAUUUGUCAAUAUUCCAACAAAGAUCAGACACAUGGAUGUCUGCUGCAACACACACGUGGCUGAAAUUUAUUUAGCUUGCUGUUUUUGAUUGUUUUGUUGUCCUGGGACAAACUGAUCAAGUGGAGCUAUCUAGCCUUCUCAAUCUUCUGUGGGGCUAACGACACUGCAUUGAAAUAACGUAUCUGGAUUUCUUGCCCCUGAAUUUAACUCUUACAAUUUCCAAUAAAUCAUUUUCAGCUUUAUUUUUCAAUGUUAAAAGAACAGUCUUCCCUGGCGCUGUUUCGGUGGCUUCUCUCAUAAAAAGCUACAGUCAGUGUUUAAUGGCGUUGAUUUACCUUUGAGCAUUUCCUAUUAUAGGCUACUGUGUAAAAUGCUGUUUAGAAUUAAUAUUUAUAUCAAGAAAGAAAGAACCAGCGAGUGACGCUCUUAUUCCUGCUCUCCUUGCUUGACCGCAAUCUAGCUUCUAGGAUCGUGGGGAUUAUUGACACUUAUUACAAGAUGAACCUUAAAAUAUGACUGAGGCAAAUAUGCUAUGGGGCUAACAACAUAAAGAAACUUGUUUCUGUACCUUUUGCUUGAUCUGGUCUGUAUGUUGUUGUUCCCUGCGCCCAUAUUUAGUACUCUGUAAGACUUGCCUAUUUA